rnacentral:rRNA from 1 species
AUUGAACGCUGGCGGCAAGCUUAACACAUGCAAGUCGAACGAGUGGCGGACGGGUGAGUAAUGUCUGGGAAUCUGCCUGAUGGAGGGGGAUAACUACUGGAAACGGUAGCUAAUACCGCAUACCAUCGGAUGUGCCCAUAUGGGAUUAGCUAGUAGGUGGGGUAAAGGCUCACCUAGGCGACGAUCCCUAGCUGGUCUGAGAGGAUGACAGGCAAAACUGGAACUGAGACACGGUACAGACUCCGAGGGGAGGCAGCAGGGGGGAAUAGUGAACAAUGGGCGCAAGCCUGAUGCAGCCAUGCAGCGUGUAUGAAGAAGGCCUUCGGGUUGUAAAGUACUUUCAGCGAGGAGGCGUUACCAGCAGAAGAAGCACCGGCUAACUCCGUGCCAGCAGCCGCGGGAAUA